GUGGCGACUGCAUUUCGUCAUGGAGCAUGACCGAAGGCCAGAAAGUGAUUAUCAUAUGUAGUGUGGCGCAUGCAAUAAUAACCAUAUUCACAACACAUUGAAAUCUUUCUUUGUAUAAAUAGUGUUUUUCCGAAAUUAUACCCGACAUUGGUUUCGAAAAGGUAACCUCAACAGCUACACCAUCAACAAUGUGUCAUAAAUGAAUGUGGGUAUGUUGGCACAGUUUAUCAAUAAAAACAAAAAUUCCCCCGUAGACGAAACAUACGAAGCGAUAGCACACAGGUUUAAACGCAUAGUGAAUCGUACGUCGUAACAUCGAUGGCGGACAAAGGCCAAGAGUCAAUAAAAGCUGCAGAAUGUCACAAGUGUCCAGCGGCAGCUGGUAUCUGCAAAGCAAUACGUUUUGCCUUAAAAUAUGUGUGACAUAUCGUCAACUUAGUAUCUUGUUUCACAGGUGGAUACAAGCGUGCUGCAUAUUACCUCUCUCAUGAGGAUUCACCGAAGAAUCAUAGAUCCGGCGCCUACGAAAGUCAGCUGAUACUGGCAAAUAACGAAAGAUAAAGGUUGGAAUAUACACAAAAUUGGGCUCUCAUCGAACAAUGUAUUUUGUAAACAAUCCCUCAGCUGCGUGAUACGUGACGCAAACAAUGUUUGCCAUUUUGUAUAACAAAAUGAAUUGCGUACAAGUAUUUGCUGGCCUUGAUGUCUCCUUUUUCGAACUGUUAUUCCGAAAAGUUGAUUGUAUUGUAUUCUGUACGAGCUAGUCCUAGACACUAAAAGCUUGGACUGAAUCAGAAUUGAUGUGACCUGCCCAUGGAGUGCUACAUAGUUUUUCAAAUAUGAGGAAACGACCGCAGGAUCUAACACCAACAUCAAGGGAUCAUUUCCUUGAGGAAUCAGUUAAAAUUCAUUGGAAAUCACUGGAAUUCAAGAUGUACUUUAAUAUUGAAAACCUCUUGGUAAUCAGUAAUAUGCCGAACAUCUUCAAACGUUCAGGAACCACUUGAAGACGAGUGGAAAUCAAACUAUUUUUCAAUAUUGGAAAUCACAUGUGAAUCGUUGAUGAUUACGGUCUCCUUUGACCGUCAUCGCAGAGAAUCUGUUCUCAGAUUUCUUGGUACAACUGUAAUGUGCAUCAAAAGUAGUUUUGUAAUAUGACUUUAGAACGAUUUGAAGCUUUUACACAUUCAGAAUUUGAAGUUGACUCUAUCGGCAAAAUUAUAGUAAUACUAAUUUAACAGCAAAGUUUCAUUCGUGUUAAUUUCCAUGUAAUUAAACGUUGAUCACUUCGAAGUAAAAGUUCACAGGAUUAAAGAUGAUUCUUACAUGUUUACACUUGAUGUUGGCUAGCUUUCAACGGUAGAGUCUUGUGUUAUGUGACAGUUGUUAACCAAAGUUCUUAUUUCGUAGUGCCAGACUUAGCAAAGAGAUUUACCUGGAAUUACAAUCAAUAAACUUUAAUCAAAAACGCAAUUCGGUGUUGAUAUCGUGAUUCCACGAUGAAUAUUUAAAUAAUUACGGAAACUUGAGUAGCUUGAAACUUUGCAAAUAAGCUCGAUAGAUCACAACUACAAGUAUAUAUGAAGCGAUGUACGUAGCACCGAGUGCUCAGUGUAUCUAACAUAGUCAGGUGAAUAAAAUCGACUAACAAAGUGUAUCUUGCCAAUUGUAAUUGAUCUUUCCGGAUACAAGGCACAUAAAGCUUCGAACAAGCUAGAUCAGCAAUAUGAAUAUCAGCACAAAUUUAUAAAUUUCAAGAAAAGAACUGUUUCUGUACAAUAUAAGCCAUACAGCUCGUCAUAGUGCGAAUGUCAUUUUUUGGUCACUAAUACAAUUCGUAUAAUACAAUCAAAGAAAGUGAAGUUCAUAUGCUUCAUAGUCGUAGGUUUAGAACUAAUUGAAAAUAUACAAACUAGUCGUAAUUAUUGGACUACUUAUUGGUUUGAUGAACAACGUCUUGCGAAGCCUAAGUUUAUUAUGCUCAUGUAAUCGCGUAAAUUUAAUUAUAAAGCUAUAGCACCUUCGAACCAACUGGAUGCUGCGAUAAAACCGUGUUAAAAUAACCAUGAUUUUGUUCCAAAACAAUUUUGUGCAUUUUGAAGUUAUCAAAGUCUACCAAAAGUAGUUUAAACAUAAGACUAAAGAACGAGUAACAAAUGAAUUUGUACAAAAAGAAGAGAUAUCCCCCAAAAAGCACCGUUGGUGCAAAAACCUUUUGCCAAGUACAUUAAAAAUGUGGUCUUUACCCACAAAAAUACCUUCUCUGAUCAAAAAUGUAUGCACAUAACCACAUCAUGUAAAAAAAAAUCAAUUCACACACUACUGCCAAGUACAUGUCUGUUGAUGCACAAUAAAAGCAUGAUUGAAACUUGACCCCUUCCACAUCUCUCUGGAAUCACACUGCUGACACACUGGGUUCAGACUGACCCUAAACUUAUCCAACUACAAAUGAUAAUUAAGUAUGAAUAAAAAAUAAAAGUUUUUGGACCAAAGGUGCCUUUUGGGGGGGGGGGGGGGGGGGGGAGAUAUUCUCUACUUGUUUCAAAGCUUGUGGAUUUCUUUUACCUGGUGAACAAAUUAGUACAACCGAUUCAACCAGUUACACCGAACAAGCUCCGAUUAGAUCAACGAAGUAUGACAUUCAAUCGAUCCAAACCUUUUAUUUGCUAGAUUCAUGUACUUAUUUCAUUUCAACUACCUAAUCGUUUUUGUAAACGAAUGUGUGACUUGGAGGAACAAUACAUAAACUUCCAAUGAAAUGAUAUUUAGUUGACUCAAUUCCGGCGAUACGUUAAAAGAUUCACUCGAAUCAGUACUUCACUCGAUUGCGUCAAAAAAGGAUUUCGCUGGAUCAAGGUAUUCGCUUGACUUACUGAUAUUGACAACUAAAUCGAAAUUUUUGAAUUGAAGUCAUCGUAUUUAGAGCAAAUGAGGUAUACUAGAUUAAAAUGAAUGGACUCCAUCAAAAUCUAUUUUGUUGGUUCAAGAAUUCCUUUCCCUCCGUCCGCGUAUCUGGAAUAUUUUCAAUCUUGCACAGUAAUAUUGGUCAAAUGUUUUCACAAUAUUGCCUGCUACGUUGGCAAGAAUAUCGAUUGAAAUAAAAGUCUUUGAUUAAACGGACAAACUAAAUAGCAUAUACUAC